CCGUGCUGAGGUUUUGCAAAGAAGGCCCGCAGAUCAAUUGGAUAGAGUCGCAAAAAGUUAAAAAUCAUUAAAAAAUUAAUUUUUGAUGAGCCAGUUUGACAAACACGUGGAUUAUUGAAUAAGUGAUUUGGUCAACUAGCACGUCCUUGUAGGGUGUUGGAGGUCUUGCUGCUACUGGUUUUGUUUCCAUGGCGGCUGCUACUGGAGCAGCCAUAGCAACAGGCUUUUUCGUCCUCAAUUGUUCAUCUGCAACGAGCAAAUGUGAUUGCGUAAGGGUGAGCCACAGCCUUGUUGGAAGGAGUUUGGCUAUCAACAGUUCAUCAUUGUCUGGACAACCUUAGACAAUUCCCUGUUUAGUUGUCAUUCCCUACUUACUGUCAUUGUCUGGACAACCAUAGACAAUUUGCUGUAUUUUUUAAAUAAAAAUUUGUAUUGACAGAAAACCCCUUAUAUUUUUAAUAUUUAUACGUUUUUCACGUUUCCAUUUUCUAUAUUUUUUAGAAAAUAUAUUUUCGCGUUUCCGUUUUCGUAUUUACAUGUUUUUGUAAUUCUGUUUCCGUGCUAUUUAGCUUGUUCCUUCACUGAUUUUGUAUUAAAUUAUUUGUAACAAAGCUAUAUUCUAUAGUAAACUGUUUCCUCCACACCACAAGUUUAUGAAAAUGAAAAUCUUUUCCAGGCAAAAACAUGGGAGAUAGAUUGCGGCUGUCAGUAGAAAUCAUGGGCAAUGCAGCUUCUUUGUUACUUUAUGCUGCACCCAUGUAACGUUGACAAAAUAUUCUAC